UCCUCGAUAGCUCAGUUGGUAGAGCAAAUGACUGUUAAUCAUUAGGUCACAGGUUCGAAUCCUGUUCGGGGAG
rnacentral:tRNA from 2 species